UACGAAGGGUGCAAGCGUUAAUCGGAAUUACUGGGCGUAAAGCGCGCGUAGGUGGUUCAGCAAGUUGGAUGUGAAAGCCCUGGGCUCAACCUGGGAAGUGCAUUUGAAACUAGUAGACUUGAGUAUGGGAGAGGGGAGUGGAAAUUCCUGGUGUAGAGGUGAAAUUCGUAGAUAUCAGGAGGAAUACCGAUGGCGAAGGCAGCCCCCCUGGGAUAACACUGACGCUCAUGCACG
rnacentral:rRNA from 1 species